GAUGAACGCUGGCGGCGUGCCUAAUACAUGCAAGUCGAGCGAACAGACGAGGAGCUUGCUCCUCUGACGUUAGCGGCGGACGGGUGAGUAACACGUGGAUAACCUACCUAUAAGACUGGGAUAACUUCGGGAAACCGGAGCUAAUACCGGAUAAUAUAUUGAACCGCAUGGUUCAAUAGUGAAAGACGGUUUUGCUGUCACUUAUAGAUGGAUCCGCGCCGCAUUAGCUGGUUGGUAAGGUAACGGCUUACCAAGGCAACGAUGCGUAGCCGACCUGAGAGGGUGAUCGGCCACACUGGAACUGAGACACGGUCCAGACUCCUACGGGAGGCAGCAGUAGGGAAUCUUCCGCAAUGGGCGAAAGCCUGACGGAGCAACGCCGCGUGAGUGAUGAAGGUCUUCGGAUCGUAAAACUCUGUUAUUAGGGAAGAACAAAUGUGUAAGUAACUAUGCACGUCUCGACGGUACCUAAUCAGAAAGCCACGGCUAACUACGUG
rnacentral:rRNA from 1 species